UACGAAGGGUGCAAGCGUUAUUCGGAAUUACUGGGCGUAAAGCGUGCGUAGGUGGUUCGUUAAGUCUGAUGUGAAAGCCCUGGGCUCAACCUGGGAAUGGCAUUGGAUACUGGCGACCUAGAGUGCGGUAGAGGGGUGUGGAAUUCCCGGUGUAGCAGUGAAAUGCGUAGAUAUCGGGAGGAACAUCUGUGGCGAAGGCGACACCCUGGACCAGCACUGACACUGAGGCACGAAAGCGUGGGGAGCAAACAGG
rnacentral:rRNA from 1 species